AUACGUAGGGGACGAGCGUUGUCCGGAAUUACUGGGCGUAAAGGGCGCGCAGGCGGAUAUUUAAGUCAGCUGUAAAAGGCAUGAGCUCAACUCAUGUAUGCGGUUGAAACUGGGUAUCUAGAGUGCUGGAGAGGUAGGCGGAAUUCCCGGUGUAGCGGUGAAAUGCGUAGAUAUCGGGAAGAACACCAGUGGCGAAGGCGGCUUACUGGCCAGCAACUGACGCUGAGGCGCGAAAGCCAGGGGAGCGAACGGGAUUAGAUACCCAGGUAGUCCUGGCCGUAAACGAUGAAUGCUAGGUGUGGGUGUCGAGAGGCAUCCGUGCCGGAGUUAACGCGAUAAGCAUUCCGCCUGGGGAGUACGAUCGCAAGAUUGAAACUCAAAUGAAUUGACGGGG
rnacentral:rRNA from 1 species